rnacentral:rRNA from 1 species
CCUACGGGGGGCAGCAGUGGGGAAUAUUGCACAAUGGGCGCAAGCCUGAUGCAGCCAUGCCGCGUGUGUGAAGAAGGCCUUCGGGUUGUAAAGCACUUUCAGCGGGGAGGAAGGCGGUGAGGUUAAUAACCUCAUCGAUUGACGUUACCCGCAGAAGAAGCACCGGCUAACUCCGUGCCAGCAGCCGCGGUAAUACGGAGGGUGCAGGCGUUAAUCGGAAUUACUGGGCGUAAAGCGCACGCAGGCGGUCUGUCAAGUCGGAUGUGAAAUCCCCGGGCUCAACCUGGGAACUGCAUUCGAAACUGGCAGGCUAGAGUCUUGUAGAGGGGGGUAGAAUUCCAGGUGUAGCGGUGAAAUGCGUAGAGAUCUGGAGGAACACCGGUGGCGAAGGCGGCCCCCUGGACAAAGACUGACGCUCAGGUGCGAAAGCGUGGGGAGCAAACAGGAUUAGAUACCCGGGUAGUC